UCAAGCUCCUGUGUUCUGGUUGCUAUGGCAGCUUCUGCUCAAAUCACAGGGAUGAGACCUCCAUUCUCCAUACUGGUUCUGCUCUCUUGGCUGGAAAACCAGUAAAACGGGCUAAUGGGUUUUCCCUAGAUUACAGGCCAACAAUCCUCAAAUGAGAACCUCUGAUGAGCUCCCAGCACCCCAGUGGGAAGGAUGCCAGUUGGGAAUGAGAAACUUGGGAAAAGAAAUUGAAGGAGACAUCCUGAGGGGAAAAGAUUCCAAAAUGGCCCCAAUGCCAGGGAUGCAGAAAGGAAAGCUGUAAGAGAUGGAGAUGGCUCCCUAUUGCCUCUCAGAUCAGGUGAUUGAUGCUCCCAGAAUUCACAGAACUAUCAUUCAAACUUUUCCAAGUAAGGAAUAAAGGACUAGACAAAAUGUCCAAAGGUUGACAGAUCUCUUCAACCAAAUCUCCAAGGUUGAGGCUAUAUAGAUGAUGGAGCAGUAAUGGGAGUCCCUUCAUCUCUGCACAUCCAGGCUACUGAUGAAGAGAUUGAGGCAGAAAUAUUCCUGCUUAUAUUUCCUUUCAACCAUUUGAAACUUGCUUUCUGGGAUGCCUAAUGCAUAUCAGACAAUGGUCAGAAGGAGUUUUCACAAUCAAGAAAAAAAUACUAUAUCCACUGCAUAAAAGACCAGACCAUAUCUAGAGUUGUAUGUUCAGUAGCAAGUAUUCUAUUUCAAAAGGAAGUAAGCAAACUGGACUGUGCCCAAUCAAGAGUAUCUUUUAGGCAGGAAAAGGCAUAGAAACCUAUGAGGGCUUUGAGCUAAUACUGUAUGAGAAGAAAAUGAAGGAAUUAGGGGUAUGGAUCCUGAAAAGGAGAAAAAUUAGAAGGAAGAAGAGAAAUUUAUGACAGUUGACCUCUAAUAUCCGAAGGACUACCGGAUGAGAGAUGAUAGUUUGUACUGGUCUAUGAAACAAAAAUCAGGAUUAGUCAGUACAAAUUAUAAGGAAACUGAUGUUCAGCCCAUUAAAGAGAGGACGUAUAACAAUCAGAAUGACUAGAAAAUGGAAUGGAUCACCAUUUUGCGUCUUUGACUUAGCAGACAUUGGAUUACUAAUUAUAGGGAAACUGAUGUCCAGCCCAUUAAAGGGAGGACUUAUAACAAUCAGAGUGCCUAGAAAAUGGAAUGGAUCACCAUUAUGAGUCUUUGCCUUAGUAAACAUUGGAUUACUAAUCAACAAGUAGAGCUAUUCCUAAAAGGUUUCUUCUAUGAGGUAAAAGAUUGAGAGGCAGCAUAAUGUAAUGGACAAAAGUACCAGGACCCAAGUUCUACCAUUUCACCUGGGUCACCUUGGUUGAAUCGCUUAAUCUCCCUUCAGUUUCCUCAAUUGAAAAAACUAAGUUUGAACUAAAUGGUCUUUAAGGUCUUUUGAAGAACUCAAUUACAAUUCUAUCCUCUUUCUCAGGUUCUAAUCUAGUCUCCAAACCCCCAGUACAAUGUCAAGUUCUCAACAGGUGUUUCAUUAAGAACUGUGGCAUCCUUCAGAUGAAAAACAGGUUGAAGCAAAUAAAAAGAAAGAUGUUUGAGAAAUAAAUUGAGAAAUAAAAAGAAA